UACCUGCAGCCCAAGUGGUGACUGUUAUUAUUGGGCCUAAAACGUCCGUAGCCGGUUCUGUAAAUGCCUGGGUAAAUCGUACGGCUUAACCGUGCGAAUUCCGGGUAGACUGCAGGACUUGAGAUCGGGAGAGGCUAGAGGUACUCCUGGGGUAGAGGUGAAAUUCUGUAAUCCUAGGGGGACCACCAGUGGCGAAGGCGUCUAGCUAGAACGAGUCUGACGGUCAGGGACGAAGCCCUGGGGCG
rnacentral:rRNA from 1 species